rnacentral:rRNA from 1 species
AAUGAACGUUGGCGGCGUGGAUUAGGCAUGCAAGUCGAGCGAGAACCCGCAAGGGGGACAGCGGCAAACGGGGUAGGAAUGAUUGGUGACGUACCCUCGGGACGGGGAUAGCCACGGGAAACUGUGGGUAAUACCCGAUAAUCUCACAGGUUUGAAGACCUGGGUGCAAAGGUGUGAUUCCACCGGAGGAGCGGCCAAUCUGGUAUUAGCUAGUUGGUAGGGUAACGACCUACCAAGGCUACGAUGCCUAGGGGGUGUGAGAGCAUGGCCCCCACCACUGGGACUGAGAUACUGCCCAGACACCUACGGGUGGCUGCAGUCGAGAAUCUUCGGCAAUGGGCGAAAGCCUGACCGAGCGACGCCGCGUGCGGGAUGAAGGCCUUCGGGUUGUAAACCGCUGUCAGAGGGGAUGAAGUUAUAGGAGGUUCUCCUUCUAUAUUGACAGAGCCUCAGAGGAAGCACGGGCUAAGUAUGUGCCAGCCGCCGCAGUAA